CCUUAGCCAGCUAACUAGGGAGCGCAUAGAGGUAUGCGUUGGUGCAUUCUGUAAGGGGUGUGCAGUUCCUUCUUAGAGGGACUAUCUGUGACUAACAGAUGGAAGUUUGAGGCAAUAACAGGUCUGUGAUGCCCUUAGAUGUUCUGGGCCGCACGCGCGCUACACUGGUAAAGGCAACGAGUGUGUUCCUUGGCCGGAAGGUCAGGGUAAUCUUGAAACUUUAUCGUGAUGGGGAUUGACGAUUGCAAUUAUUGGUCAUGAACGAGGAAUUCCUAGUAAGCGCAAGUCAUCAGCUUGCGUUGAUUACGUCCCUGCCCUUUGUACACACCGCCCGUCGAUACUACCGAUUGAAUGGCUUAGUGAGGACUCUGGAGGGUGCCUGUUGUGGUGCUUGAAACUGUCCAAACUUGGUGAUUUAGAGGAAGUAAAAGUCG
rnacentral:rRNA from 1 species